UACGUAGGGUGCAAGCGUUAAUCGGAAUUACUGGGCGUAAAGCGUGCGCAGGCGGUUCGGAAAGAAAGAUGUGAAAUCCCAGGGCUCAACCUUGGAACUGCAUUUUUAACUACCGGACUAGAGUAUGUCAGAGGGAGGUGGAAUUCCACGUGUAGCAGUGAAAUGCGUAGAUAUGUGGAGGAACACCGAUGGCGAAGGCAAUCCCCUGGGCCUGCACUGACGCUCAUGCACGAAAGCGUGGGGAGCAAACAGG
rnacentral:rRNA from 1 species